rnacentral:rRNA from 1 species
GGGGGCAACCCUGGUGGCGAGUGGCGAACGGGUGAGUAAUACAUCGGAACGUGCCCAGUCGUGGGGGAUAACGUAGCGAAAGCUACGCUAAUACCGCAUACGAACUGAGGUUGAAAGCGGGGGAUCGCAAGACCUCGCGCGAUUGGAGCGGCCGAUGGCAGAUUAGGUAGUUGGUGGGGUAAAGGCCUACCAAGCCGACGAUCUGUAGCUGGUCUGAGGGGACGACCAGCCACACUGGGACUGAGACACGGCCCAGACUCCUACGGGAGGCAGCAGUGGGGAAUUUUGGACAAUGGGCGCAAGCCUGAUCCAGCCAUUCCGCGUGCAGGAUGAAGGCCCUCGGGUUGUAAACUGCUUUUGUACGGAACGAAAAGGCUUCCUCUAAUACAGGAGGCUGAUGACGGUACCGUAAGAAUAAGCACCGGCUAACUACGUGCCAGCAGCCGCGGUAAUACGUAGGGUGCGAGCGUUAAUCGGAAUUACUGGGCGUAAAGCGUGCGCAGGCGGUUGUGUAAGACAGAUGUGAAAUCCCCGGGCUUAACCUGGGAACUGCAUU